UGUGCGACUUGAUGUGGAAAUAUUAGUUGCCCCCAAAGACGUUGCCGCAUCUUGCAUUUGACUAUCGCUUGUCAUUUUUCCUGUCACCACAAGACAAAAAAUACUUAGUAUUUUCAGAAUACUACUUAUAAAGUUAAGCAACUUUAAACUUUUCUUCUUGUUUCUAGUUGACAAUGAAGUUUUUAUGACUUCCAAUUGUCAACCGAAUGAUCUUUAACUUGUGAUGAAGUUUUUAUGACUUUAAAUCACUAGUUAAGUUCAG
rnacentral:lncRNA from 1 species